rnacentral:rRNA from 1 species
UAGGGAAUCUUCCGCAAUGGGCGAAAGCCUGACGGAGCAACGCCGCGUGAGUGAUGAAGGUCUUCGGAUCGUAAAACUCUGUUAUUAGGGAAGAACAAAUGUGUAAGUAACUAUGCACGUCUUGACGGUACCUAAUCAGAAAGCCACGGCUAACUACGUGCCAGCAGCCGCGGUAAUACGUAGGUGGCAAGCGUUAUCCGGAAUUAUUGGGCGUAAAGCGCGCGUAGGCGGUUUUUUAAGUCUGAUGUGAAAGCCCACGGCUCAACCGUGGAGGGGUAAUGGAAACUGGAAAACUUGAGUGCAGAAGAGGAAAGUGGAAUUCCAUGUGUAGCGGUGAAAUGCGCAGAGAUAUGGAGGAACACCAGUGGCGAAGGCGACUUUCUGGUCUGUAACUGACGCUGAUGUGCGAAAGCGUGGGGAUCAAACAGG